CCCACCCCCAAUAGGUCACCCUGUAUCAUCUCUGUAGCCCACCCCCAAUAGGUCACCUCGUAUCAUCUCUGCAUUCCAUGCCCAAUAGGUCACCCCGUAUUACCUCUGUAGCCCACCCCCAGUAGGUCACCCCGUAUUAUCUCUGUAUCCCACCUCCAACAGGUCACCCCGUAUUAUCUCUGUAUCCCACUUCGAAUAGGUCACCCCGUAUUAUCUCUGUAUCCCAUCCCCAACAGGUCACCCCGUAUUACCUCUGUAUCCCACCUCGAAUAGGUCACCCCGUAUUAUCUCUGUAUCCCACCUCCAAUAGGUCACCCCGUAUUACCUCUGUAUCCCAUCCCCAACAGGUCACCCCAUAUUACCUCUGUAUCCCAUCCCCAACAGGUCACCCCGUAUUAUCUCUGUAUCCCACCUCCAAUAGGUCACCCCGUAUUACCUCUGUAUCCCAUCCCCAACAGGUCACCCCGUAUUAUCUCUGUAUCCCACAUCC
ensembl:lncRNA